rnacentral:rRNA from 1 species
CCUACGGGUGGCAGCAGUGAGGAAUAUUGGUCAAUGGGCGGAAGUCUGAACCAGCCAAGUCGCGUGCGGGAUGACGGCUCUAUGGGUUGUAAACUGCUUUUGCACGGGGAUAACACUGUCUACUUGUAUACGUCUGCAGGUACCGUGCGAAUAAGGGUCGGCUAACUCCGUGCCAGCAGCCGCGGUAAUACGGAGGAGCCGAGCGUUAUCCGGAUUUAUUGGGGUUAAAGGGUGCGUAGGCGGAGUGUUAAGUUAGAGGUGAAAUGUCCGGGCUUAACCCGGGCACCGGCGUUAAUACUGUACACCUUGAGAUCACAUCAGGCAGGCGGAAUGCAUGGUGUAGCGGUGAAAUGCAUAGAGAUCACAAAGAACCCCGAUUGCGAAGGCAGCCUACCAGGGUACGUCUGACGCUGAGGCACGAAGGUGCGGGGAGCAAACAGGAUUAGAUACCCGGGUAGUC